UGCAAGUCGACGCCCCGCAAGGGGAGUGGCAGACGGGUGAGUAACGCGUGGGAACAUACCCUUUCCUGCGGAAUAGCUCUGGGAAACUGGAAUUAAUACCGCAUACGCCCUACGGGGGAAAGAUUUAUCGGGGAAGGAUUGGCCCGCGUUGGAUUAGCUAGUUGGUGGGGUAAAGGCCUACCAAGGCGACGAUCCAUAGCUGGUCUGAGAGGAUGAUCAGCCACAUUGGGACUGAGACACGGCCCAAACUCCUACGGGAGGCAGCAGUGGGGAAUAUUGGACAAUGGGCGCAAGCCUGAUCCAGCCAUGCCGCGUGAUUGAUGAAGGCCUUAGGGUUGUAAAGUUCUUUCACCGGAGAAGAUAAUGACGGUAUCCG
rnacentral:rRNA from 1 species